CAAUGGAGAGAAGAGAUAUUGGUGAACAAAUUUAGGAAUGAUGGAAGUAAACUGGAGGAACAGAAAUGCUUCCAGCAUAGGUAACCCAAUGUCUUAAGGGAGCCUCCACACUGUUUUCCACAGCUGCUCUACUGUUCUUCUGGGAUCUGACACCAAAACACAGAUUUCUUCCAGCUGUCACGAGUGUUCCAGCUGGACCUCAGGAACCUGAAGGGCUUCCUUUCCCAGCCCAAGGACGACCUCUCAGCUCUCAAUGUCCGUCAUUGUCUUCCACAUGAGUCUAAACCUGCUUUCUAUGCUGUUAGUUGCUAAAUAAAAUCUGUGGUUUCUCCCCCAAACCUCCACCCCCUGUUCUUGGCUUCUCAAUGCUGUAUCUAAAACAUGCCAUGGAUCAGGCGUUCAGAGAAAGAGAACAUCUCGAAAGCUGCAGUCCUCCGUACGUCUGGGUUGACCCUUUCAUUCCUGACUUUCCAUCUCUCAGAAGGGGAGGACGUGGUACAGCAAUGAGAGCACCAGCUGGGGGUCUAGGAGGCAUCUGGAUUCAAAUCCAGCUAUGUUGUUUGACCUUGAGAAAGUCAUUUACCUUUUUGGAUUCCAUCUGUGUACUAAAGGUGAUUAAAUAAGAGGGGAUAAGAAAAAUACCCAGCAUGUACUAGACACACAAGCCACAUUCUAGUGCUUUGAUGCCUUCAUAAUGUACUUUAGAGGAAUGUUUAAAUAGUGUUUGCUUUUUUCUCAUCACCCACAACCCCUGUUAGCUCAGUUUCCCAAUUCCCUGAUGCCUUCCAGCUCACUGUGCAAGCACAAUUCUUAGUCCUCUGACAUUCCUUUUAG